rnacentral:rRNA from 1 species
GACAGAGGAUGCAAACGUUGCUCGGAAUUACUGGGCGUAAAGCGCGUGUAGGUGGCCUUGUCAGUCCGGUGUGAAAGCCCAGGGCUCAACCCUGGAAGUGCACAGGAUACUACAAGGCUGGAGUACUGAAGAGGAGAGCGGAAUUCCCGGUGUAGAGGUGAAAUUCGUAGAUAUCGGGAGGAACACCAGUGGCGAAGGCGGCUCUCUGGGCAGAUACUGACACUGAGACGCGAAAGCGUGGGGAGCAAACAGG